AGAUUGCACCACUGCAUUCCAGCCUAGUGACAGAGCAAGACUCCGUCCAAAAAAAAUAAAAAAAUUUCUGAGGCCAUUCACACACAGGUACAGAGAGAGUGAGCAGACACAUGUAUGCGAGCAUAAAGAGAAGUUUCUCUGCCUAAGGACAUUUCUUCCAGUCCCUCACUGAAUAUCUGAAUAUGCCCUUCUACUCAUUUGCUACAUAAAAGCACAAUCCUGGUGAUUACCCGCUUAGGAUACAAAUUAAUAAUUAAGACCAUCCAGUCCAUAGGGGUGAGGGGGGAAACUCAAAGUAGAAAAUAUAAACAGUAACAAAUGAAUCUAACUGUAUUACAAAUUAAGUAUUUUGUAAUUUACACUAAAAGGGAUGGGAAAGGAAAGAACUAACAUAAAUAAUUUUGAAAAACGGCAUUUUAACUGGAUGCCAUGUGGCAGAAGACAAAAAACAGUAUUGAAACACCAUACUCCAGUUAGUAAAUUUGUUUUUUAUAGGGGUCACUUUGCAAGCUGGGGACCCCUGGCCAGCAAUGCCCCAUCUGAGCCUCCCUCAGCCAUGCUGACAUGCCCCAGCUCACCUGUGUUAACAGCUUGUACCCUUGUUUUGUGGUUCCUGAGCUCGUAGACUAAGCUCAAGAAGAAUGAGGAUACAGGGGCCAUGGAAGGGUGAGGAGGGUGAGGAAGAAUUUUAUUGAGUUAUAAAAAUGGCUUUCAGCAAGAGAGAGAGGGGAUUCCCCUGUGUGGCUGUGUCUGGGGCCCUUUAUGGACUCAGAAUGGGGAGUGCAUGCUGAUUGGUUUGUAAGUAUGCAAAAAAGGUUAAAGCAAAUAACACCAUUCAAAGGUGGGAAGGACAAUGUAGAAAAACCAAUUAGGAAAGGGUAUAUGUAAAAUAGGUGAAGGAUGGGGACCAAUCAGAGGAAAGUAUGCCAAGCAGGAAGACAGGUUCUCAAUUCAGUCAGAGGAUUUAACUUGCAGCUUGGCUUUCAGACUUUAAAACUGUCUUCGACUUGGAGGUGAGGUUUUGCUGGGGAUCUGCCACUUUCUGUCUAUGCAUUUGUCUGCCUCUAUCACUACUUUAUGUUUAUAUUAGGAUAUGCAAAUAAGCAAACAUACUAUAGAUGAUAAGAGCCAGUUUUCUGUCUAUGAGAGAAAGAAAUUAUGAAUAAGGAACGCUGUGGUAUUGGAUUGCAGUUGGCGUUAUUGGUAUGAACUCGUAAUUUUUAAUGUAUGUAUUGAUGCAGAAAUGUAGACAAGUGUGCAUGAUAGGUAUGUAUAUAUGUAUGUAAAUACACACUUGCAUAUAUUUGUUAGCUCUGCCUGCUGAGGGGAUCUGGAAGCAAUGACACCUCAAUACCAAUGACGAGUAUAGCAUCCAGACCUUGGUUUCUAAAUACCGUUUAUGAGUAAAAGAACUCAAUGCUCUGUAGAGAAUUGGUUGGUUGUUGUCCUGGGUCAGGGAACAUACAGGAUGAGCCUAGAACAUCUUGUGGUGCCAGAAAGUAAAUAAGUGCUCAGAAAAGGGGGGUGGUAUGCCAGAAGGCCAACCUGGCCAACCUGGAGGAGCUCCCAAUGACCAAAGCUGGAACAGUUUGAGCAACAAAGUGGUAGUAUUAGAUUAUACUCAGAGAAGAAAAUGAAUAUCCAUUGAAUACAUUUUAAAAUUUGUAGGAAAUUGACAGAUUUUUAUUACAGAAAAAAAUUUAACAGUUGUAAAAGGAAAAAAUGAAAUGGCAAAUAUCACACUAAUUAUUGUUGCACAUAGAUCCAUUGAAGGAUGCUAAAUUUAGUAGAUGAAAGUUAGGGAAGAAACAGGAUAUUUGCAUAGUCUCAAAGUAUCUCUCCCAAGAUAUUUAUUCAUUAUGAGGGGAAAAAUAGUAACUUUACAGUAUGGACAACCAAAGAUACCAUCUUAACCAAGUGAUCAAGGUUAACAUCACCAAUGACAAGGCAUCUCAACAUCAUGAAGCCUCUGAUGCCCUAAGGAGAAGAUAACAUCACUUCUCUUCCUCAAAAUGCCUAACUUCAUUGUAAAAAAGAGAAAACAGCAGCCAACCCCAAAUUGCAAGAUAGUCUAUGGAAUAACUGGCCCAUCUUCUUCUGAGGUGUCAAAGUCCUAAAAGACAAGGGAACCCUGAAGAACUAUCACCAGUUUAGGAGACUAAGAAGCCAUAACAACUGAAGGCAUUGUGGGUUCUACAGAGAAUCCUGGAAUAGGAAAAGGGCAGUAAUGGGGAAACUGGUGAAAUUUGAAUAAGGUCUAUAGUUUAGUUAAUACUUUACCAAUAUUCACAGUCUGGUUUUGAUCAUUGAUGGGUAUGUAAGAUGUUAACCUUAAGGGAAGACUUGGGGGAGGAUUUCCAGGAAUUCUUUGUACUAUUUGUAUAACCUUUUUGUAAGUCAAAAUUAUUUCAGAGAAAAAAAAGAUGCUUGGAUAGCUAAAUGGACCAAGGUGUGUCUACAAGGACAUUAAUUGCAGCAUUGCAUACAAUAACAAAAAAUUGAGAAUAAUACAAAUCUUGGUCAGUGAAGGAUUAGGUCAAUUAUACUUUAUUUAUGUAAUUAAUACAAUAGUUAAAAAGACCACAGAGUUAUGAAUAGUGGUAUGGAUGUCAAAAUGAAGAGAAAGGGUUAAGAGUAUGGCUUCUUCAUUCAUGUUGCCUGGAUUCUCUGAUAUUUAACUGUGACCUUCAAAAAAUUAUUCCUCUCUCAGCUUCCUCAUCUGUAAAUUGGGAACAGUGAAUAUACCUACUUAUGAACCGGGAAUGAGGUUUAAAUAUGAAAAUCCAUGUAAAGCAUACAGGAUGAUACUUAGCACAUAAAAAUACUUGAUAGAAUGAGUACCUAAUUAUUAUUUUUGAGGAAUUGAUGGAGGAAACUUCGAUACAAAAUUAAGUAUGGAAUGAUACCAUUUGUGUUAAAAUUCGUAUAUGAGAAUCUUGAAGAUUAAGUGCUAAUAUGUUAAUAGUGAUGCUGUCAGGGGAACAGCAUUUUAGGGAACUUCCGGGGUUUGUUGUUGUUGUUGUUGUUGUUGUUGUUUAGAUAGGGUCUGCUCUAUCACCUAGGCUGGAAUGCAUAUAGCAUUGCAGUCAUAGCUCACAGCAACAGCAAAUUCCAGGGCUCAAGCAAAGUUCUCACCUCAGCACCCUCCUCUCAUGUAGCUGAGACUACAAGCCUGGCUAAUUUUCUUAUUUUUUGUAGAGAUAGGGUUUUGCCAUGUUGCCCAGCCUGGUCCCAAACUCCUGGCCUAAAGGAAUCUUCCCCGUCGGCCUCCCAGUUAGGAACUUCCACUUUCUAAGAAACUUCACCCCAAAAUAUGGUUCCCUGGUAUAAUAAGUAUUUUGAAUUAAAGGUCUUUAGAGAUCAGCAAAUGUGAGAAGAGACUUUUCCCUUAUCCAAGUAAAGACUGGACCCACCAAGGAGAACAAUUGUUCUUCCUUAGCCUCCUUGUUACGUAUUGCAACAGAGAAUGCCGAAGAAUAUAACCAUGCUGGAACAUUUGCUAAAGAGGCCCAUUUACAAGUUAAUCUCUGUUUUCUCAUCCAUUCAUUCUCCUUGGUAAUCAUUUAUUGCCCUCUGACAGAAUUCCCUAUAUCCGCUAUCUCCCCACUCCUCUAUGAGAAGAAGCUAUAGGAGUAUGUUGAUCCCAUUGGAAUAUUUGGGGAAUCACUCUGUGAUUCUCCCUUGUCCAUGUUAAUAAAUUGUAUGCCUUUUCUCAUGUUACUCUGCCUUUUUUCAGUUGAUUUUCAGUGAACCUUCAGAGGCUAAAGGGGAAGUUUGCCCUUUUUUUUCUGCUAUACAGUUGAAGAAGUAUGCAUAGCAACUUUUAAAAGAAGCCUGCUAUCAAUAUUUAUUAAAUAAAAGCCAGCAAUGGAAACUUUAUUUCUAAAGCUAAAUGCCUUGCACAGUCUCCAAGGUCAUAUGACUUGUCCUUCACAUUGGAAAUUAUAAGAGACCUGACUCUGUUCCGAGCCGCUUAAAACUAGUUGAAGUCUAUAAUUCUCUGAAAUGUGGGUCUUAACAUGGAAGAUUAAUUACUCUGGUAUAUAGUUCUAGGCUGUGAAAAGUUAUGUGUAACCUAGGUAAGGAUGGGUAUGACUAGCUCUUUUUCCUCAUGAAAAAUAAAAUAAAAGGCCUGAAAUGUAGCAUUUCACCAACAAUAAGUAAUUCCUAACAUUUUUAUUAGAAUGAUUAAACCCUGGAGUUGAGCACCAAUGGUGACAUAGUCUCCAGACCUAAAGUUAAAAAUAGGAUAGAUAUCAAUUGCUUUUUAAUCUUUAACUGGUGGUGGGCCACCUGAGUUAUAGUGGGAUCCAGAAUUCACUAAUAUCCUCACAAAAGCCAUCUAUGUUUAUAUGUAGUGUAGGUAAAAUAUGUAUGGAAAUAACUACAUGUUUUCAAAGAAUAUUCUCAUACUUGUAUUUUGGAUAUGACAUCAGUUUUGUUUUAUGAUUGUGAAGAUUUUUUUUUCCUGUGCUUGGUUUGAUGCCUGUGUUGUCCUGAAGAUCUAUACAGUGCUUCCUUGGGAACUAAGCCUGACCAUUCUGAUUUAAGCAUAUACAGGUUACAUAGCAAAUUUAAGGCCCAUCUGUCUUUGUGGUUUGGGUGAUACUAGUUUGGUUGGUUGGUUUUUUUUUCUUUUUUCUUUUCUUUUUUUUUUUUUUUUCGCUAGAUCAUCUAUAACACAAAGUAUACCAGGUUUCUUUGCAA